rnacentral:misc_RNA from 1 species
GAUGAAGAACGUAGUGAAAUGCGAUAAGUAAUGUGAAUUGCAGAAUUCAGUGAAUCAUCGAAUCUUUGAACGCACAUUGCGCCCGCCAGUAUUCUGGCGGGCAUGCCUGUCUGAGCGUCAUUUCAACCCUCAUGCCCCUAGGGCGUGGUGUUGGGGAUCGGCCAAAGCCCGCGAGGGACGGCCGGCCCCUAAAUCUAGUGGCGGACCCGUCGUGGCCUCCUCUGCGAAGUAGUGAUAUUCCGCAUCGGAGAGCGACGAGCCCCUGCCGUUAAACCCCCAACUUUCCAAGGUUGACCUCAGAUCAGGUAGGAAUACCCGCUGAACUUAAGCAUAUCAAUAAAGCGGAGGA